rnacentral:rRNA from 1 species
UACGGGGGGGGCAAGCGUUGUUCGGAAUUACUGGGCGUAAAGGACUCGUAGGUGGCCAACUAAGUCAGACGUGAAAUCCCUCGGCUUAACCGGGGAACUGCGUCUGAUACUGGAUGGCUUGAGAUUGGGAGAGGGAUGCGGAAUUCCAGGUGUAGCGGUGAAAUGCGUAGAUAUCUGGAGGAACACCGGUGGCGAAGGCGGCAUCCUGGACCAACACUGACACUGAGGAGCGAAAGCCAGGGGAGCAAACGGG